UUUUUUUUUUUUUUUUUUUUUUUUUUUUUUUUUUUUUUCUU
rnacentral:ribozyme from 1 species